GCCAGAGCGGUGUGGGCCAGGCAGGCAGCCUGCCAGGCUGCAGCUAUCAGCUGGGCGGAGGGCAGUGCCAGCUGCAGGCGCCCCUGAGGGCAAACACCACCCCACCAACAGGCCUGACAGCGGCACCUUCCACCUCAAAUCUAGAGCCACGCAGAGCCAAAGGCAGAGGACUCCAGCUCGCCUGGAGAUCUCACUAGAACGGGGAGACUAGGGGCCCCGGGACUGAAGCCCAGCCCACUUAUUUUCUGGGUGACCUUAGACAAGUCACUUCUCUAUGCCUCAGCUGUUGCAUUUGUAAAGUGGAGGUGAUCACAGUCCCCACCUCUCCCGGCACUGCGAGUUUUGGUGCAUGACACAUUAAUAGUUGCUUCAUAGGUAAUAACAAUUAUUAUUAUUACUAUUAGUAGCAGCAUUAGUAAUCAUCACCAUCAUCUCUCCGGGGGCAUUUGCUGUUGGCAAAGGGAAAUAUAGUGUAAUCUGUCAUUAAAGAUCUGUUAAACACCUAUUCUGUGCAAGGGAGGACACUCGGCGGCGUUGUGCAAGAGUCUUGGGAGGGAGAUGGUGGCUUUGAGUCCCAGCCCUGUCACUUAGGAGCUGUGUGACGUUCUCUCUGAGCCGUGGCCAGACAGGGGACGGUACUUCUCGCUCUGCAGAGCCAGUGCGGGGAUUAAAUGAGAUGUGAGAACGAUGUGUGGGGCAGUUCUCAGCGCAUCAGAGGUUCCUGCCAGUAAGUGAGAGGUGCAGAGGAGUAAAGAGGAUGGGGAUGCGAAGGACAGAUUCAGUCUCUGCCUUGGAGGAGUGUUGAGGAGCUAGGACUUGUGUGCGAAACAUGUCACUAAGUCAAGGGGAUCCGAGCUCAGUGCCAAAUUCCAGGUCAGGAGAAGGGGCAGUGGGAGGGGCCGGGCGGAAUGUCGGGCAGCGGUGGGGUGCGGUGGGGUGGGGGAUGUUUUGGAAUGCACCCCCAGCCCUCUCCCACCAGGAUCACGGGGGAAGGGGGGGCAGCCACUGGGUUUGGGAGGGACAAAGUGGCUCCUGAACAGCUGGUGUCAGCAUCUGCUUUACCGGGGAGGCCCCAAAGAUGGCUUGGCCGUCUCCCAUCCUGACAGGAAAAGAGGAAUGAAAAGGACAGUUGGAAAACGCAGGCUGAGCGAAAUCUCCACCCUUUAUAAUGACGGUGAAUGUGGCUGAACACGGUCCAUGCCCGCGGCUAUGGCCGUGCGACUCUGGAACCCAGUUCCCUCGUCUGUGAAAUGACAGGGUUGGCCCCCUGGGCUGCCACCCUCCACCCUUCUUGAAAACAAUACUUGCUCUGACCUGUAGGAAUGUGGGGGAGAAGCCGCUCCUGCUGGGAGGUGCAGGCAGGGCUCCGGCCCAUGGACCAUUCUGUGAGCUGGCUCAGAGCCCUCUGGAGGGGAGCAGGAAGGAGGCAGGGCUCCACCCUGGACAAGCAGCUGUCCCGUGGAAUAUGACCCUGCGCUGGAAGGAGCCUUGAAGCAGGCAUCCAACCCUCUCACUUGAGGACAAGAGACAAAAACACAGAGAAGUGAGGAGACUUGCCCAAGUUCACGGGUCUCUUCGGGGGCGCAGCCAAGGUUCAGUCCGCAGCAGCAUACAGCCUCCAUUUAAUUUAGCUAACAACAGACCAGGAAGCUGGUGACCGAGGCCAAUCCAAACCUGUCUGAGCUCCUUUCAUGAAAGCAAAAUGGAAACGCAUUCGCUUCACCGCCAGAGCCCAGGACGCCGGCCAGCCUGACUCCCGUCCCUAACUCUGUGAACCCCAGCUGCUUCAUGAUAAUGACCAACACGAUCAUCACAGCCAUGACGGCCACUCAUCACUGUUCUUCAUUGCUCUGUUCCAGCCACACGCAUGCCCAGUGCGUCUAAGCCUCCCAAUAACCUCACGUGACAGGUGAGGAAACUCAGGUAAAGGGAGGUGAGGAGCUUGCUCAAGGCCACAAAGCUAACACCUGCUGGGGCCUGGAUUCAAAGGUGCGUUUAUGGCUUACCUGUCCGACAUACCUGCAUAAUGCAUGUUCCCCAUAUUUUUGUGACGGAGAUUCUUUGAUUACCUCCUUAUCUGAGAGUAGUUUUUAAAAACUGUGAUAAAAUAUAUAUAACACUAAAGUUGCCAUUUUCACCAUUUGGGGGCACAGUUCGGCGGCAUUAUUCUAGCCACAGCACUGUGCGAUCGUCACCGCUAUUUCAAAAUCUUUGUCACCAACUCAAGACAAAAACUAACCAUUGAGCAAUAACUUCUCAAUUAUUCCUUCCUCUCUCCAGCCCUGGUAGCCUCUCAUCUACUUUCUGUCUCUAUGAGUUUGCCUGCUCUAGGGAUUUCAUACCAGUGGAAUCCGGCCACAUUUGUCCUUUGUCUGCAAAGCCAGGAAGCCCAGCUCCUCAACGUUUCAGGCUCUCAGGUUGGCACCUGCCGAAAGGCCUGCCUCCUUCAGGGGGAUAUUGUGGAGGUGUGAAUUCCAGCAUGGGGGCUUGGAUGCCAUCAUGGGGAAAGCCAGUCCUGUGGGGGGUUCAGUGUCCCUGGUUACUGAAGGCAAGGGGCCUCCUGCAGAGGGCUGCUGAAGCAGCAUAUUAGGGGAAAAGAGAGAGGAGUCCUCGCAGGAAGAGGAGGAAAAGAGGGGACCCCAGUGCCUCCGGCACAUGGGGGCUGUGUUGUCACAGGUGGCCAGCGGCAGGGCUUGGAGGAACACGAUGGGCAUUGCAUCCCCGAGGACAAACAGGGUGGCCCGACCAAUGUUCAGAGCCCCUCACCCCCAUUCUGGGCCCACGGACUCUUCAGCCACCUCCUCCUCUCCUCCCGCCGCCUGCCCUUCCCUGUGAUUCCAGCCAGGCAACUUCCUUCCUAUCCCGAGGUGUUGCUCAUACAGCCCUGCGUAUUCCCUCUGCCAGUGCCCCGGCUCCGGCCCCUAACUCAGGUCCCCAGCUCGUUCAGGAAGCCUUCCUCCCCACCUCCACUAGGGUCUUUUGAGUCUACAUCAUGGGAUCUACCACGCUGGGGGGGUGGCGGGCACUGCCUGUCACACAACGGAGAGGGUUCUGCACCUGAGUCCCGGGGCUGCCCUUUUCCUUCUAGCUGACCUAGGGCGCCCUGCUCAACCACUCUGCACCUCAGAUCUUUAUCCGUCAAGCGGACCUGAAAAUACCCACCGCAUGGGAUGGUCACGAAGAUGAGACGGAAUGCGUGUCUGUGGCUUACACCCCGGGGUGUGCGGCAGAAGUGACGCAAAGGCACAACAUGCGAGGCGGCAGAUCUUUCUGGUGCUCAGUUUUACUCAACUGUUUGUGCAAAAUGCAUUCCUUUUAGGUUAAAAACUAGAGGUGACUACGGAGAAGAACGAAACACUCGCAUUGCUUUUAAAAGAUGAAAACAAGCAACCUCCAGGGCAUCUCUCGCUUUCUGGGAGCCACGUUAGGAAUUCUCUUGGACUCACAAUAGGCAUCGCCCACUUUGUUUAGUGGGUGCUUCUGGGACGGGCUGCUGAGGACACGGGAGGUUAUGGGCCAGGCACGUGGCAGGCACUCGAUAAAAGGUAGCUGGGGUAUUCCCCCCGUUGUUGUGGGGGAAGGGUUUAAAGCAGCGGCACCUGCUGAGUGAGCCAGUACAGUGGACAGGUCUUACGGUUGGUAUUUGAGUCUUGAUCUCCCUUGAGACAGGUGCAGUAUUGGGGUGGGAAGCCUAGGGGGCUGGAUUCCCCAGAGACUUUUGUCUCGGCUCCACCAUCACAGGCUGGAUGUGUGUCCUUGGACACGUCACGUAACUUCUCGGAGCCUGGGUUAACUCACCGACAAAAUGCAGACAAAUGGCCUAACAAAGGCUUCUUUGCAGGGCUCUGUGCAGAUGACAUUAAGAGCAAGUUGGUGCAAAGAGAGCAGAGGCUAAAGAAGCAUCCAUAUGCUCGUUUAACUCCAGUGCUCCCCACUGCGGCCCAGCGAGGCCCGUUGGGCAGGUAAAGCACUCUGUGAACGGUUGACCACAGCCUGGAGUGUAAGGUUCUGUUACCACAGCCCUGCAAGGCAGACGGGGCGGGGGCUGUGCUGUCGACUCCGGAGACGGAGACCAGGAGGCCAAGGCACUAAGUGGCUUUCCAAGAUCCAAGUGGGGGAGCUGGGCCCGGAGCCCCUGACUCUCAGUUGGUGCUCUCCCGGCUCACCACCCUCCUACGGCGCAGUGCGGCCCAACGAUGAAACGGGGGUGGGGGGGGGCCUCGGUAGGCAAUGAGCUCCCGGUACCUUCAAUGUUCACUCAGAGGUUGGCAGGCAUGACAGAGUGAAAUCCAAGCCCUGGAGACGAUCCAACCUACUGAUCUCUGAAAGAUGUCUUUCAGUUCCUGAGCUUCUGGGAUUCUGGCUGGCUAUCGGAUUGGGAGAGGCUGCCAAGGGCUCCGAUUUGAUGGUCCUCGCCAUGUUUGCUUGUUACACGUCACUUGUCUUUUCUGCAGAGCCCGGUCCAGCACUCAGCACCCAGUAAGUGCUCAAGAAAUACUUGGUGAUGGUUUUGCUAAAGUGGCCCUGGAAGCUGUUGUCCACCUGGAGCAAAGCCUUUGGGGCUCAGCCAGCGAGGACACUGACACUCAUGGGGCACCUCCUGUAUGCUGAGCAAGGGGAUGCCUCAGCAGGCCCUGCCUCUCCCUGGCCUGCUAAACCCCAUUCCACCCUUCCACCAGAAUGAUCUGUGUCUGCUCUCUCUGCACAAUGGCCAUCCGGAGGUAGCUCUGUGUCCGGUCCCUCCUUGGCCAGAGGCAAAGUCCUGACCCUUCCCCCACCCUCAGAGGCUUCCCCGCCCACUCCUGAAUCUCCACUUUGAAAACUUCUCAUGGACAAGAGAUCUCCAGGCCACAGCCACCUACCCACCCUCGCUUCCCCUCCCUGUCCGGGCUGCCCCUCCCACGGGGCCCCAGCCUACCCAUUUCCUCUGCCCUUUUCACCCUUUGGCAGCAUAACUGGCUAUUCUGAGCCUUUGGCCCAGCUCCUUCUCCCUACCAGCUGCUCCCUUACUGAGGCCUCCAUGUUUGCCUCUCUCUUUGGAGGUGAGUGUGACUCAGCCCUGCCACAAAAAAAAAAAAAAAAAAAAUCCUGAAAGCAUUUGGCACUAUGAUAUGGGGACCCCAAAGGCAGCAAGACUCAGCACAGACCUAAUUCUUGAGUUACCUACUUGGAAAUGUUAAAUACAGACCUCUGCAUUGCUAGGCUCUGUGUGUGUGUGUGUGUGUGUGUGUGUGUGUGUGUAGCGCGUGCAUGCCAAUAGAUCCAGGGUCCUUCCAAGAAGCUUUUCAAAGCAAUCUUUCUCCCCUCUUGCCAGAAACAAUGAAUUAGUAAAGAUGAGCCCCAACAGGAUUAAUAGUGCUUUUCUGGUUACCCCAGGCUUCUUGCUUCUUUCAUAACACAGCAGCCACUGGAUUUCAAGGUUUCUUUGAGAAGAUUCUAGGGCAAUUACUGCAGAUCUUAUAAAAUUACACCGAAUGGUAUGUUUGAAAAGACAAUUUUCUGAACUCGGCUCUGUGAAAAGUUUCCCAUAAAAGCAGCAACAGAUAAAGGUGCCCGCCCCCCAUCAAUCAGUGUUAGUAGGAUCUUCGGAUUCCUUUCAGACAGUGAGGAAGGGGAAGGGGAGGAGGACAGGGUUACAAAAAGGAAAAAAAAAAAACAGGUCCCUGUGCCUUGAUUUGGCCUUGGUGACCAAGAAAA